rnacentral:rRNA from 1 species
UACAGAGGUCCCGAGCGUUGUUCGGAUUCAUUGGGCGUAAAGGGUGCGUAGGUGGCGCUGUAAGUGGGGUGUGAAAUCCCGGGGCUUAACCCCGGGACUGCAUUCCAUACUGCGGUGCUUGAGGACUGGAGAGGAGACUGGAAUUUACGGUGUAGCAGUGAAAUGCGUAGAGAUCGUAAGGAAGACCAGUGGCGAAGGCGGGUCUCUGGGCCGAUACUGACGCUGAGGAGCGAAAGCGUGGGGAGCGAACAGG